rnacentral:rRNA from 1 species
AACUCUAAUACUAGUAGCGUAUAUUAAGUUGUUGCAGUUAAAAAGCUCGUAGUUGAACUUUGGGUCUGGUUGGCCGGUCCGAUUUUAUGUCGCGCACUGGUUUUCAACCGGAUCUUUCCUUCCGGCUAACCUGUACUCCUUGUGGGUGCAGGCGAACCAGGACUUUUACUUUGAAAAAAUUAGAGUGUUCAAAGCAGGCGAAAGCUCGAAUAUAUUAGCAUGGAAUAAUGGAAUAGGACGUUUGGUUCUAUUUUGUUGGUUUCUAGGACCAUCGUAAUGAUUAAUAGGGACGGUCGGGGGCAUCAGUAUUCAAUUGUCAGAGGUGAAAUUCUUGGAUUUAUUGAAGACUAACUACUGCGAAAGCAUUUGCCAAGGACGUUUUCAUUAAUCAAGAACGAAAGUUAGAGGAUCGAAGACGCCGA